AAACCAGCACCUCAAGUGGUCAGGAUGAUUAUUGGGCCUAAAGCAUCCGUAGCCGGCUCAGUAAGUUUUCGGUUAAAUCUGUACGCUCAACGUACAGGCUGCCGGGAAUACUGCAGAGCUAGGGAGUGGGAGAGGUAGACGGUACUCGGGAGGAAGUGGUAAAAUGCUUUGAUCUCUCGAUGACCACCUGUGGCGAAGGCGGUCUACCAGAACACGUCCGACGGUGAGGGAUGAAAGCUGGGGGAGCAAACCGGAUUAGAAACCCCAGUAGUCC
rnacentral:rRNA from 1 species